CAAGAUGUAGCGCAGAAGGUAGCGCAUCUGUUUUGGAGACAGAGGGUCGCAGGUUCAAAUCCUGCCAUCUUGA
rnacentral:tRNA from 1 species